UCUUGUCUACGGCCAUACCACCCUGAACGCGCCCGAUCUCGUCUGAUCUCGGAAGCUAAGCAGGGUCGGGCCUGGUUAGUACUUGGAUGGG
rnacentral:miRNA from 1 species